rnacentral:lncRNA from 1 species
GGCAGGGCAAGGAGGGAAACGGAGCAUCACCCAGCCACAAGGCUUUCUGCAUGCUGUAACUCGGCUCAGCCUCAGAGCACACGUUGCCAGCAGCACCAACACCAGAAGGGCUGGUUCACUGUGAAGGGCUGUCGUUAGCGAACCGGAUGUUUACAUAAAGUGUUUGAGGGUGAGAUGAUGGACGCGGGCUCCGACCGGACCCACGCAGAGCAACGCCAGCCCCAGCACAGCCACAGCAAGAGCGGCGGAAAGGCCGCGGGCCG